AAACGGUGACGGUGCUGGCUGGUGCCCCCAGGAGCUGUUCACCACCUCCCGGGCUAAUGGCGCUUGCUGCCUGGCACACAGCAGGUGACUACACUGCAUGGCUUAUAAAUGUGGCCUCUGCCAGGAAAUCCUGGGAAAGAGCCAGGGAGGUGACGUUUUAUCCACGAGCCUGCUAUGGCUUAGCCUAGCCCUCCCCUAACUGUGACCAAGCUCUGGAUGAGACACAGACAACUACUGAGGACCUGCAAAGUAAGGAGACUGCAGGGCGGAGGCGGAACUUGGAGGAGUGACCUGCCGUGGAGUUUCUGGUUUCCUCCUUGUGGCUUUGUCUGGAGGGCAAGCCCCACUCUCAGAUCCACAUGGCAACACAAGCAGCUAAAACGCAGAUAGAAACCCCAACCUGGGAAAAGGAGUCCUACAGCAACUUUUCAGAAGCUUCAGAAGAAGGACGCCGGAGAAUGCCCGCCCGGGACUCCGAGGUGCCCUGUGCUCAUGGAUUGGUCCUCCUGGCUCCAUGAGUGUGAGUGAGUGUCUGCAGGUCCCUGGCACAAAAGCUGCAGUGCUGAGCAGGUGGCUAAUGGCCCUGGCUGGGUGAUUUUGGACAAGUCACCUUUGCCUCUCUGGCCUCCAUUGUCCCUCUGUCAAACAGGCCCCACGACAGCAAGCGUUGGUUAUUGUGUCUAUGGUCAACAUCCCACCUGCCUUUCUGGGCAGAGACGUUUGGGAGCAGUGGCUGUAUCCCUGAGCACGUCGUAAGGGCACUUUCCUGCAUGCCCUGGCUGGAGGGACCUGUUGCUGGGAAAACUCCCCAGAGUGUGAACCGGCGGCGGCUCCACCAUCUGGGUGCCGUGGGCAUGGUGCAUGGCGGGAAGGAGGCCGGCACCACAGAAGGGUGGCAGCUGUCCCCGGAAGGCUCUCCCCUGAGGGCGCCCAGGGCUCCACCGCUAGCCAGCCAUCUCCUUGCAGUAAGGCACGUUUCCUCCAGAUCCUCUCGGAACUGCCGGGAGUGGCUGCCCCACCCGCCCAGCUCUCCCUGGGUCCUGCCAGGCAGGGAAGCGUGAACCGAGACGGGCUCGGGAUGGCUCUCAGGCCCUCCCUGCUCUCAGCACCAAGGGAGGCACCCAGAGACUGAUCUGUGGGGGCAACGGAGACUCCGGGUCCCCCCACCAGGAUACGUCCCCUUUCUUUGCAUCUGAUGCUGACACACACAUACGAGGAGCCCAGAGGCAGAAACGGGACUCAGAGCCUGACGCUGAGGCUGGUGUGUGGGGCUGCCUCUCCCAGUGCUGAGGCUGGCGUGUGGGGGCUUCCUCUCCCGACACUGAGGCUGGCGUGUGGGGCUGCUUCUCCCGACGCUGAGGCUGGCGUGUGGGGCUUCCUCUCCCGACGCUGAGGCUGGCGUGUGGGGCUUCCUCUCCCGACGCUGAGGCUGGUGUGUGGGGCGGCCUCUCCUGGUGCUGAGGCUGGCAUGUGGGGCGGUCUCUCCCGACCUUGAGGCUGGCAUGUGGGGCUUCCUCUCCCGACGCUGAGGCUGGCGUGUGGGGCUUCCUCUCCCAACCUUGAGGCUGGCAUGUGGGGCUUCCUCUCCCGACGCUGAGGCUGGCAUGUGGGGCGCCCUCUCCCGACCUUGAGGCUGGCAUGUGGGGCUUCCUCUCCUGACCUUGAGGCUGGCAUGUGGGGCUUCCUCUCCCGACGCUGAGGCUGGCGUGUGGGGCGGCCUCUCGGGAGCAGGCGGCCUCGGGGAUCCUGGGGGUCAGCAGCCCCUCCACAGCUGCACCUCCCGGGACUGACCCUGCAGAACCCACCUCCCGCCAGCCCCUCCACAGCAGGACAGCACCCGCCUCCUUUUCCAAGGCCGCCUCGCCCAGUGGAGGCUGCAGCUCUACUGGGUGUGAGUCAGGAGGAAACGCUCGCAGCCAACACAGGCAGGACACGCCCACGUGACAUCGGAUCCCACGGGGAGGAGUCCACUGGGCAAAUCUGAACAAUGUGGGGGAAGAUAUUGAUGAGAUGUUAAACAUAACCCAUAGAAGAAGAAUCUACAAGUCCGUACUGACGUAAAUAAAUAAACAGGCAUUGGGGAGAGACAGCUUUUCCUUACCAUAGAAUUCCAACUCAGCCGCAGAAUCCUGGUGGGAACCGUCAUCAAAGUCAACGGGAGCAGACACCACCAAACCCCAGAUCAAAGUCAGCAUCGCCAGCAACGGGCACACGGACACCAGGAAACUCCAUCAGCAUUGCUUUUGCUGUAUUCUUGACAAAAUUGUACAGUUUAAUUUUUUUUCUUUUUUCUUUCCUUUUUUUUUUUAGAGAUGGGGUCUCACUGUGUUGCCCAGGCUAGAGUACAGUGGUGUGAUCACAGCUCACUACAGCCUUCCGUGGCUGGGACUACAGGCACACACCACCACAUCUGGCUUGUUUUUUUGUUGUUGUUCUUGUUUUACUGUUUACUUUGUAGAGAUGGGGUGUAGCUAUAUUACCCAGUCUUGACUUCUGGCCUCAAGUGAUCCUCCCACCUUGGCCUCCCAAAGUGUUGGGAUUACAGAUGUGAGCCACUGUGCCCAGCUGUAUAAGUGGAAUUUAAUUAUGAGGAAAUCUACAGUGAAUCCAAAUUAAGGGAUAGUCCACAAAAUAACUGACAAUAUUCUUUAGAAGUGUCAAUGUCAUGAAAAAACAAAGACUGAGGAUUCGUCCCAGAUUGAGAGACUAAGGGGCCACGAGGACUAAACACAACAUGGGACCCUGGACUAGGAAAGGGUGAAACGGGGUUUCACCAUGUCGACCAGCCUGAUCUCAAACUCCCGACCUCAGCUGAUCCACCCACCUCGGUCUCCCAAAGUGCUGUGAUGAGUGCCCGUGAGCCACCGCGCCCAGCCUCAAAGCUAACUUUUGGGGACGUUGGAUGAAGAGUCCACAGGAACUUUUCUACUGUUUUUGCAACUUGUUAAAACCCUGUAAUUACUUCAAAAUGAAAAGUUAAAAAAUGAUCUUUUAAAAAAGAGUUAAUACUUGCAGUAUAUAAAGGACUCUUGAAAAUCAAUGAGAAGAUGAAUGUCCUGUGGAGAGCACAUGGGCCGCGAUGCUCCGGGAAAGAAUGGCACAGAGCACAAGAGAAACAGCUCACGGGCACCACUGAUUAGAGAAAUGCCAAGGCACUCAAUGACGGCCAAUGAUGGCGUUUGAAAACAUUAGACUGCAAACUAGUGUUUACACCGUAAGGGUGCUCUCGUGUUGCUGGGGAGAGGGGGACGAGCAUAGCUCGCCUGCAGAGCAGUUUGGCAACUUAUCAAAAGUCCAAGCUGUGACCUUUCUCUUUUUGACCCCUACGCUGGAU
rnacentral:lncRNA from 1 species